AGGCUGUGUCUCAAUUCAGGGUCUGCAUCCUACCUCGGCCGGAUUCGUCGGCCGGUUACGUCACAGCGCCGCGACUCGGCCUGUCCCAAUUCGAAGACUCCUUCAAAUGCGGUCGACGAAUGCGGCCUUCUUUUCGCCUGAAUGAAGGAUGGGUCGGGUGUAUCCUUCAACAGGUAGCAUUUCCCAAGAUGCCUUGCGGGCCGGCCGGCAGAAAAACUUAAAAACAAUGGCGGACAGUGAAGCGGGAGCUGUCGGAGAGGAUUGCGCAUAUAAAUGUCAGUAUAAACUUGAAAACUGUCAGUUUAAGGACUUUUUGUGAUACAUGAACGUUAUUUUAGUUAGAAAUGUUACAGUAAAAGUGCUUGUAUUGCGGUCUCGGCUCGUAUGUUCGGCCGCGCUCGGUGUCGUACUUCUCCCACUACGUUUCCCCCUGAUUUUAAUAGAAGUUUGUAUUUUAGGACCAAAAGAGAAAACCAGGGAAUUUAUUAAGCUUAGGGCGGAGAUGGACCACAUGAUCACCGGAGCAAAGUAUUCGGCGGCUGUGGCAUGGAGACUAUUCUGGAGAAAAUGGGCAUCCAGGGGAAGGUGCCAGCGAUGAGCUUCUGGAGCUGAUCUGGGAGGACAUGAGGCUGCAGAGCAGCAGAGAGCACAGGAGAGAAGGAAGAACUUUGACAGCUUUUUACUUUGCUAGAAAAAAAUGGUUAAUGAAGAUUAAACAUGUACAUAUAAAAGAAAUAUCUAAAUAAAAUCAGUUCUGCAUUAAA